rnacentral:rRNA from 1 species
AAACUUUCAACAACGGAUCUUUUGGUUUUGGCAUCGAUGAAGAACGCAGCGAAAUGCGAUAAGUAAUGUGAAUUGCAGAAUUCAGUGAAUCAUCGAAUCUUUGAACGCACAUUGCGCCCCCUGGUAUUCCGGGGGGCAUGCCUGUUCGAGCGUCAUU